rnacentral:lncRNA from 10 species
AUCAGGUAGUAAAGAGGGCUCACUAAAAUACAAUUAGGUUAAAAGCAGGAGGUAAAGAAAUAGACAAAUCAUAUAUCACCUGAAAGCACAGGGUAAGGGACAAUGGGAUAUAAACCCCAGGCAUUUGAGCCGGGAGUGGGCAACCCCCUUUGGGUCCCCUCCCAUUGUAUGGGAGCUCUGUUUUCACUCUAUUAAAUCUUGCAACUGCACACUCUUCUGGUCCGUGUUUGUUAUGGCUCAAGCUGAGCUUUCGCUUGCUGUCCACCACUGCUGUUUGCUGCUGUCGCAGACCCGCCGCUGACUUCCACCCCUCCGGAUCUGGCAGGGUGUCCGCUGUGUUUCUGAUCCAGUGAGGCACCCAUUGCUGCUCUCAAUUGGGCUACAGGCUCGCCAUUGUUCCUGCAUAGCUAAGUGCCUAGGUUUGUCCUAAUCGAGCUGAACACUAGUCACUGGGUUCCACGGUUCUCUUCCGUGACCCACGGCUUCUAACAGAGGUGUAACACUCACUGCAUGGCCCUAGGUUCCAUUCCUUGGAAUAUGUGAAGCCAAGAACCCCAGGUCAAAGAAUAAAAGACUUGCCGCCAUCUUGGGAGCAGCCUGCCACCAUAUCAUGGGAGCUCUAAGAACAAAGACCCACCCGUAACAUUUGGUGGCCUCGUCUGGGGAUUCUCCAAAGCUGUUCAUGGGAAAUAAGAAAUGAGGUUCGUGGAAAAGGAGAGUAAAAGAUCUUCAUGGACUCAAGGAGGCUUCAAUUCUGUUCAUCAUGGAAAUUCAUGACUUCCAGUGAGCAACUCUGAAGAGCAAGAGAAAUGUCUGGAGAGAAGUUUAGAAAUUUCUAUGUGCUGGACUAAGGUAUCCUCCCAGAGACUUCUCUUCAGGUAGUAAAGGUAAAAAUUAGUCUUUAGUGCUUUCAGAGUUUUUGGAGAUAGAGAAGGGGAAGCAAAGAACUUGCUUCCAAAGACAGAGGUAGGCUUUAAAGUGGCCUAGCCAUAUUCAUGUUAUGAAUUCCUUAAUACUCUUAAUACAUAUUAUCAAACCGUCCACCAAAAAGGGUAUAUAUAAUAUUAUAUAUAUGUGUGUGUGUGUAUAUAUCAGUAUGCUAUGAAAAUCAUGUUCUCUAUCAUCUUCCAUAACCCUAAACAUAAUCUCCUGGGUUUGUGGAGUUUUUGUUUGUUUGCUGCAACCUAACAGUUAAAAAUUUGCAUGUCACUAUUAUUUUAAUUUGUACUUAUUUAAUGACUUCUGAAAUUGAACAUCUUUUAAAUCUGCUCUUUUUAUAUCUUCUCUUAUAAAUUAUUCUUGAUGUUGGUCCAUAUUUCUACAUGCACAUUUAUCUUUUUCUUAUAGGUUUAUAUGAAUUAUACAUACACUAAGAAUAUUAAUCUUUUAUCAGUCAUAUUUAGUAAAAGUAAUUUUUCCCUAUCUGCUCUUCACUUUUCAAAGGUGUUUUAAGAUUUCAUGUUUUAAAAAAAUCAUUUCAUCUGGGCAUGGUGGCUCACGCCUGUAAUCCCAGCACUUUAGAAAGCCAAGGAGGGUGGAUCACCUGAGGUCAGGAGCUUGAGACCAGCCUGACCAACAUGGUGAAACUCCGU